GUAGUUUUAUUCUUUGGAUGGCUUUUGAUGGUAACAAUCUCAAUCAAAUAUGAGAUCACGGAGGGAUGUUUGCCCGUAUGUUGCCGAUUCAGAAGCUAACUUCAACGAUUUUGUAGAGUAGCGCUCUUUGAUAAUAGAGCUCGAAGCUUGUGGUGAUACUCAUAAAAGACUCAUCAUUGGUGAGAGACCUUUAGCGUACAAGUACCGUGAGGGAAAGAUGAAAAGAACUUUGGAGAGAGAGUUAAACAGUAUGCGAACAUGUUAGUGGAAAGCGGAUCAAGCUCAUGAGCAUUUCUUCAAGACAAUCACAUCCUACUUUUACUCUAAGAUUAGAUAAAAGUUAUCAGGCUGGUUAGUCAAAAUGAAAGGUAACGAUGCUUCAACCUAAUCUGAUCCGACCCGUCUGGAAACACGGACCAAGGAGUCUAGUAUUGGUGCAGGUAAUUGAAAAGCUGAAAUUCUUAUACACAGGAAAUUUAGAUCGUGUUUAUCGUGUCAUGAUGAUAGUAUCGCGGGCAGUGUUUUUACCUACCAAGAGCAUGA
rnacentral:rRNA from 1 species